GCUGGGUGUGGUGGUGCACGCCCAUAAUCCCAGCUACUCGGGAAGCUGAGGUGGGAGAAUCACUUGAACCCAGGAGCUGGAGGUUGCAGUGAGCCGAGAUCACACCACUGCACUCCAGCCUGGGUGACAGAGUGAGGCUCCAUCUCAA
rnacentral:SRP_RNA from 2 species